rnacentral:rRNA from 1 species
UGGGGGAAUUUUGGACAAUGGGCGAAAGCCUGAUCCAGCAAUGCCGCGUGUGUGAAGAAGGCCUUCGGGUUGUAAAGCACUUUUGUCCGGAAAGAAAUCCUUGGCUCUAAUACAGUCGGGGGAUGACGGUACCGGAAGAAUAAGCACCGGCUAACUACGUGCCAGCAGCCGCGGUAAUACGUAGGGUGCAAGCGUUAAUCGGAAUUACUGGGCGUAAAGCGUGCGCAGGCGGUUUGCUAAGACCGAUGUGAAAUCCCCGGGCUCAACCUGGGAACUGCAUUGGUGACUGGCAGGCUAGAGUAUGGCAGAGGGGGGUAGAAUUCCACGUGUAGCAGUGAAAUGCGUAGAGAUGUGGAGGAAUACCGAUGGCGAAGGCAGCCCCCUGGGCCAAUACUGACGCUCAUGCACGAAAGCGUGGGGAGCAAACAGGAUUAGAUACCCUGGUAGUCCACGCCCUAAACGAUGUCAACUAGUUGUUGGGGAUUCAUUUCCUUAGUAACGUAGCUAACGCGUGAAGUUGACCGCCUGGGGAGUACGGUCGCAAGAUUAAAACUUAAUGAAUUGACGGGGUCAUAGCUG